CUUUAUUGAAUGAAAAGGAUAACAUACACUGUGUCCGUGAUAUUUAACAUUGAUGAAACGUCUGGGCACCCAUUUUCAGUGCGUGAAAAGUAUAGAACUUAAUACGCACGCGGCCAUGCUCAAACUGGUUUCUGCAACUGUUUGCACUGGCCUUGACACAGUGCAGGAUGUGCCAAGAAAUUAUUCACAAGCGGACGGCUGAAUCACUUUGCAGUUCUAGCCAUAUGAGCAGCAAGAGCUAGGUGUUCAUAAAAAUAAUUGAACUCGCAGAGCUCGCUGCAGUGCCCGCGUCGCUUUGUAAGUCUGCCAAGGCGACGACCAGAAUACGUGUUCGUUCUCAUAAACCACAUAUGGGCUAGCCAUAGUUCGAUGUGUCGUAUGUGCGUAAAGUGUGCGGCCGGCCAUCGCCUGUACAUUUUUGUAUCGCCGUGAGAAUGCACACAUUUAUUUUCAUAAAACAGGCAAAAGUAGCAACGACCGGCCUCGCGGUCGAAUUUUCAGUGUUCAUUAUGAACUAAUUUCGACGCUAGAGCACAAUACUCUGACGAAAUAACUUUGACAUUGGUAUCGUGAUGGUACACCGCGACUGUAUCAUUUGGACGAAAGAUCUAAACAAGAGAGGAGAACCUGCCCCGACAAGAUGGAAGAGUAAUGCCUACUUCCGGAGUCACAGUGGCGUCAACAAGAGUGACGUCAGGGUCUAUCCUCAGUUUUUUUUUUUUUUUUUAUUGGCGAGAGGGAAGUGAUCGGCACGGGCUAGAAAAAGUGGCUGCGAUUCCGGCAGCCAGUGGCACUAAAACCUACAACGAACCAACCUGCGUCGUGAUUUGUCUGGAAACAAUGCACGGCCAGCUGUUCCCAAGAAUCAAAGCGCCAGAUGCGCAUUUUGCGAGUGAAACCAGGGCGUGAACAGCGUCAGAGAAGCUUGCCUUGUGAAGGCUGACAGCUUGAUGUGAUGCCCCCUCUCCUAAGCUUUCUUCUUUCUUUUUUUCUUUCUUCCGUACAUCUGACACUCAAUGCAGGGCUAUCAUUUUACUUACCCUUUGUCUACAGAGAAGUCAAGAAACAGAAAGCGUUCACCUGCCAGAAAGCCACACAACGGCCACAUGGAACGUUUCUUGCGUUGUCUUACUUUCACCAUGGUGACAAUGUCUUGGCCGUCUCCGGAGGCAGUAAACAUCCAGAAAAUUAAGCAAGCCCUUGAAGCGGUGGCAUCAAAACACCCAAGGCAAAUGGAGCUGUCUAAAUGACGACUGUGCAGGCCGUCCAACCAAUAUAGAAGGGAUAUGUUUGGAUCUUUCAAGAAAAGCGACACCUCGCCGGCCCUGCCACCAGACAGAGACCGCCAGCCCUUUCUAAAGGACUGUCAGUGAAAGAGCAUUCCAAGUGACAUGUAACCUUAUCUACAAGAAUGCGCCUCCACGGAAAGACUGAGACUUCAUCUUUACCCUUCAUAUUGUAUUUUCUUUCGGAAAAAAUGUUUGAUAUCCUUUUUCCUUGAAAUAAUUUUUUUUAAUAAAAAUCUCUCAGAAAGCUC